rnacentral:lncRNA from 1 species
UAGUAGGAAUUAGGAAUGGCGAAGUCUACAUGAGUAGCUAUUGGAAGUGCGGAAUCUGCAUAGGUAGUGCUAGAUAUUGGGAAUAGUAUAAAAUUUGCAUAAGUAGAUUCGAAUGACAUGACUUGAGGUAUUAUGAAUGACGCAGGCGGAGUUUUUAUCGAUAAAUAAUUAUUGGGAAUCACGUAGUCUCUGCUGGUAGAUAUUGAAAAUGGUGAAGCCUACAGUGGUAGAUUUUCGGCGUAGUCUGCAUCGGUAGUUGGAGUCUGCGCCAGUAGACGUCGUGAGUGACGGAGUCUGCGCCGUUAGGUAUCGUGAGUGACGGAGUCUGCGCCGCUAGGUGUGUGAGUGACGGAGUCUGCGCCGGUAGGUGUCGUGGUCGAGGUCGAGGUGGCACUCACCGGGAGCGCUCGUGCACGGCCAUGGGGCGGCCGUUGCCCUUGUUGACGUGCAGGUCGCGCACGUGGCGCAGCAGGCGCGGCAGGUUGGGGAAGGGCGCCUGCCCCUUGCGCACGCGCGC